rnacentral:rRNA from 1 species
UACGUAGGGAGCGAGCGUUGUCCGGAUUCAUUGGGCGUAAAGAGCUCGUAGGCGGUUCGGUAAGUUGGGUGUGAAACCUCCAGGCUCAACCUGGAGACGCCACCCGAUACUGCUGUGACUAGAGUCCGGUAGGGGAGCGUGGAAUUCCUGGUGUAGCGGUGAAAUGCGCAGAUAUCAGGAGGAACACCAGCGGCGAAGGCGGCGCUCUGGGCCGGAACUGACGCUGAGGAGCGAAAGCGUGGGUAGCAAACAGG